CUACGGGAGGCAGCAGUGGGGAAUCUUGCACAAUGGAGGAAACUCUGAUGCAGCGAUGCCGCGUGAGUGAAGAAGGCCCUUGGGUUGUAAAGCUCUUUCGUCGGGGGAGAAAAUGACUGUACCCGAAUAAGAAGGUCCGGCUAACUUCGUGCCAGCAGCCGCGGUAAUACGAAGGGACCUAGCGUAGUUCGGAAUUACUGGGCUUAAAGAGUUCGUAGGUGGUUGAAAAAGUUAGUGGUGAAAUCCCAGAGCUUAACUCUGGAACUGCCAUUAAAACUUUUCAGCUAGAGUAUGAUAGAGGAAAGCAGAAUUUCUAGUGUAGAGGUGAAAUUCGUAGAUAUUAGAAAGAAUACCAAUUGCGAAGGCAGCUUUCUGGAUCAUUACUGACACUGAGGAACGAAAGCAUGGGUAGCGAAGAGGAUUAGAUACCCUCGUAGUCCACGCCGUAAACGAUGUGUGUUAGACGUUGGAAAUUUAUUUUCAGUGUCGCAGCGAAAGCGAUAAACACACCGCCUGGGGAGUACGAUCGCAAGGUUAAAACUCAAAGGAAUUGACGGA
rnacentral:rRNA from 1 species